GAUGAACGCUGGCGGCGUGCCUAAUACAUGCAAGUCGAGCGAACAGACGAGGCUCUUGCUCCUCUCACGUUAGCGGCGGACGGGUGAGUAACACGUGGAUAACCUACCUAUCUUACUGGUAUCACUUCGGGAAACCGGCGCUAAUACCGUAUAAUCUCUUGAUCCGCAUGGUUCAAUAGUGAAAGACGGUUUUGCUGUCACUUAUAGCUGGAUCCGCGCCGCAUUAGCUAGUUGGUAAGGUAACGGCUUAUCAAGGCAAGGAUGCGUAGACGACGUGAGAGGGUGAUCGGCCACACGGGAACGGAGACACGGACAAGACUCCUAAGAGAGGCAGCAGUAGGGAAUCUUACGCAACAGGCGAAAGCAUGACGGAGCAAGGCGGCGUGAGAGAUGAAGGUCUUCGGAUCGUAAAAAUCUGUUAUUAGGGAAGAACAAAUGUGUAAGUAAAUAAGCACGGCUUGACGGUACCGAAUCAGGAAGCAACGGCUAACUACGUG
rnacentral:rRNA from 1 species